AAAAUUCUUAUACAUAGUAAAUAUGCAAGUUAUUGUAAGUCAAGGUAAAAAAAAAAGCAUGGGACUUCUUUGCAUAUGAUUUACCUACAACAGUGGGAAUCAUUAAUAAUAUGUGGUCCAUAACAACAAAGAUUAUAACAAAAAAUACAUACCAAAUGCAGUGAACUAGAGUUACUAGACUGCAAUCUUCUGAAAGCAUUUUCAUUUAUCGGNN
rnacentral:lncRNA from 1 species